UUGCCAUCUUUCAAAUGAAUAAUUUACAUUUACUUUCAUCAACUAUAAACAGAUGAAAUAAAUAAGGUACAACUAUACUCGAUGGAUGUCCACUAUCUAUGGAACGCUGUCCAUACCACGAUCCUCGAUCACCCCGCACGAGCUAGAACCUGUAUGGUUAGUGGGGUGAGAACUACUGAAAGUUCCUAGUGGGUUCGGCUGCCGACCUCGCCGACUCACCCACUAGGUUUAUUCAAGCAUAUGUAGGCAAGAAAAGAGAAUAGAUAGUAACCAGCUAUAACAUAUAACUACUACAAUGCCUGCACAAAGCUGAAAGAAACAGUAGACAAUAUCUGAAAUUGAUGCAUGCAUGCUACUAAUAACCUUUACCCAAUCCAACUGGUUAACCAUUUGGUUAACAAUAACUCACAAACUAAAUCCCAAGUAUUGAGGAGACGCAAGCUACAUCCCGACGGGAUCGUCUACUGGGGGAGACGCUAGCUCCUGAUCCAGUUGAUGCCUACUCCGGAGCUCAUCACCCAAGGAGGAGCGACCUUACCUUGGGCAUUAGACUAUUGUGAGUAUGAUCCAAUCCUCGCUUAGAGGAUACGCUGACAAUGACACUCUUUAACUAGCUUUUUAUGCUUGAUUUACUUGUCCAACUCUAGAUGCUAAUUAGUUCAUCUAGUUCUAAUGCCACACAUUUUACAAGCUCAUUGACUUUGUUUAACAUUUACAACACUCGGUGCCACUCAUGCAAUCUAUUCACAAUGUCACUUUAUUACUAUUUAAUAUUCCAGUACAAAUUCAUACAUCUAUAGGGUUCUAUGUUUACUAGUCACUGUUCACAAGUAAUUGUAUUGUCAAGUAUACAAUUAGACCACAUGUCAUAAUUAACCACAUAUCAAGCUUGACCCUAUAAUGCAUGAAUUUCAACUAAACAUAUACAAUCCAUGUAUGCUCAAGAAUGACGACAUAAACAUAGAAGGUCAUUCGAUGACUUCGGAAAGCGCCACCCACCUUUAAAUGAUGCUGGAAUGCGAGAAAUCCACUUUCCACAAUUUAUGAACCAUCCCGAUCCUCGCUCGCGACAAACGAAGCUAAAAUGAGGUUUUCCUCAUUAGCGUGCCGUAGGCUCAUCGGAAUGUCAAUUUGAACUUCCGAGCGCGUCCACUAUUCCUUCAUAGAGGAAUAAAAGAGAUUAUGUUCAGGUCAUAUUUUCAUUUUUACAAACUUUGCAUUUUAGCUCCAACUUGUAUAUAUGUAUAUAUUAUUAACAUAUACAUAUACCUAGUCUUACUAUUAAGCUUCUUAUCAAUUCCGUUCUUUAGGAGCUGAGAAUUAGGGACAAAUAAUACCAACUUCAAACAGGAUUUAGUGGGAUUUUAGCUCAGAUUUUGUCUCCCAACCACUAAUCCUAAGUACACAUAUACAUAUACAUAUACAUAUUACAUAGAGUUAGCUCCAUAGAGCCCCUAACACUUAGAAACUUCCACACUCAAGAAGUUCCUAUUUAACUUUUCUUCACAGCAGGGGGCAUCUUUCCAACCAAAAUUCAAGACCCAUUCAUUGCAAAUUUUGCUCUAACCAUCCAUCAACAUGUAUAUAUAUGUAUAUAUGUAUGCAGUUUUAUAUAGUUUCCAAGGCUUCUAUAGCACUUAUGCAUGUUAGUAAUUAAGAAUUCAUAGCCUAAAUCACCAAGAACUCACAGCCUACUUGUCACGCCCGGAUACCAGCGGAAGCAUAUCCGGUACGUGCACAGACCCGCCAUACACCUGCAGUAUAUAAGGCGUCUACGAAGAAAGCAAGUCGAUAGGAAGUAAAACAAAGAGAGUCCUAUCCUGAUAUCAGAGCAAUGUAAAAGUCGAUAUACUAUCAGUAAAAGAACAAAGAGUAUACAAUCCAAAAUUUGAGCAAAAGGAGAAGAAGUAUGAACUAUAACAUCUGGAUCUACAACUCAUAUACAACACAGGGUACACACAAACAUCUAUACAAUGGUAGUCACUCUAUACAAUGGACAUCACCCUCGGCCGUAGCCCGAGUAGCAAGGUAAUCGACUAGCACGCUCCUAGCAAAGUCUAGCUAGACGCGACUCCCUUGCCACGAUCCCUAGCCUCUCCUGUAGAUGGCUCUGUAAAAACAACCAUAAAAAGGGCGUGAGAACUAUUAACAAUAGUUCCCAGUGGGUAAGCCGCCAGCCUCGGCGAAUUACACCACUAGGCUCAUGAUGUACUAAAUGGAAAGUAAAAGCAAUAAUUGCAUGAUGCUAACAAGUAAUGAGCAUGUAAUUGCAGGAUACCUUUCUAAUGCUAAGCAAUUAAUAAGCAUAUAAACAACAUGUAAUAGCUUUCUACAGUAAUGAAUUGAACAAUAAAAGCAUAGCAGCUACUGUAAGCAUGAACAUAAAUAUGAAUGUGUAAGCAGAAACUAUACACAAUGACCGGUGAUCAUUCAUUACUGUCCAAUGUCCUUUAGCACUUUCUUUUCAUUCACAGGGACCUACCCAAGGUAGUCCAGCUUGCGCCGCGCCUAAUGGCCCCGUGGUAGUAUACACUCCCCACGGCAAUCCACUUCGGCACCCAAUCCCGCACGGGCGAGCAACUGUUGCGUAGGUCAACUCCGGAGUGCCGGCUUGUAGGGAGCGACCCUCACAAGCGUGUGCGAAUGAGCACGAUGGCAAGCAAGCAUAUUUCACAGUCCACAGGUCUCAAUUAUCAUGUUUUCAUUUGUAAUGUUCUUACCCUCGAUCCUCUGAUCGGAAUUUCAAAACACGAAUAGUAACAAGAACUAGUAUCCACUAGAUUGUAAAUAUGUAAGAGUAAUGCUAAAUCACAUGGCAUUAUAAUCUUUCCACUAUUAUGGCACUGUUAAUAUAAUCAUAAGCAUGCCAUAGUUCUUUACUUUAGAGUCAAGAGAAUGUUAUUGUUCUCUACUUUAUAAGUGCAUCCUACACUUGCUCAUAAGUCAUUCAAUUGAAUUGAAUAUAAAUAUAAAUAUAAAUACUUUCAUGUAUAUGUCUUCUCUACUUUAUAGAGAUUUCAAUUCAAUUUUACUUCUCAAGUCCUAUAUCAAACACAAAAGCUCACAACAACACCAAUUCUAUAGUACAUAUAGAUCAUAGGGGAGCUCCACUUGCUCUGGUUAGGUCCGACCCACCUAGUACUAGGCUCCAAUAGUCACAAGAAGUCCCAAUAGUCAGCUCAACAAGGUUCCAAUCCUGCUGAACACAAACAUUAACACCGCGUCAAAAUGACGACCGAAAUGUCCGAUUUCGGCCUAAUUUACACUUAGUACAAGGUAAUAGCUUGAAUCCCUGCUUUGGGCUAGUGUAAUACCUCAAGUGUAACCUCCAGGAGUCCUCACAAGUCAGUCGAAGACGAUCCAAGGCUCGAUCGCAAUCUCGCUGCGAACAACGUCAAAACGGCGUCAAAAUGCUUGUAUAUAAGCUUAUAUGGUUCAAUUCUUGCGAAAUUGAAUUUCUAACAGAAAUUCCUGCUUACCCUUGGUUAGAACAGCUUUCAAAUCAGCUUCUAAGAGUACAAGUUCAGCUCAACGAAGCUCGAAGACCUGCUGCGAAGAAAUAAUCCCCAAUUGCAUCAAGUCGCUCCAAUAGUUGCAUUUAGUUCCAAUUUAGCUUCAUAAAUGGCUAAUUCUCUCAAUUAACCUUCAAAGAAGCUUAUCCCUAGUCUAAGGAGCUUAAUUCACAGCUAAGUAAUUCAUUUUUAAUAGCUGAAUUCUCAGUUAUGUCGGUUAGAAGCAAAAACUCAAACUCAAUACUCAAAUCGACAAUUAGAAUGCCGAUAACGGAAAACAUCGAGUCGUUUAUCUUCUCAAGCUUCCAACCAGCGAACUCUUGGUUCGGGGAUGCAAAAAUCCCUCCAAAACGCUCUCUUGCAUGUGCACAAAGGCGCUGCGACGCUCGCAACCAGCGAAGAACGCGCGCGACGACGAAAACGAGCGAAAUCGGCGACUUCUUUGUAGAGAGAGAAAAACCCUAGAGAGAGAGAGAGAGAAAGAUGGGAGAACACUCCUUUGGACUCCAGCAGGCUCCACUGAGUAUCCCUGGUCGAGCUGGGGUCUUAAAGAUAGAGAUCAAGUGUGAAAUUACCGAAAUACCCAAGCUGCCACGUUUCUGCAUUGUGUACCGGUACAAGCUAAUGGCUGUACCGGUACAGCAAGCAGAAAAAGCUGGUUUUCGCCCGAGCAAUGCACUUUCUUGCUUCUAGCCUUCCAAGCACUCUUUAACUUAUUCAAAAACUUGUUCAAGUCCUAUAGAACAUGUAGAAGAGUUCCACACAUCAUUCCUCGCACUCGAAUUUCGCAAUUUGUAAAAAUUCAGUAUAUUACAUUUCACCCCUCUUAAAAAGGAGUUUCGUCCGCGAAACUUUAGAUAAUUACCUUAAGGUUCAGUCGAGAAAAGAUAGUGGUAGUGCUCUCGCAUUGCACUUUCCAGUUUCCAAGUGGCUUCCCGUUCAUCGUGAUUGCUCCACAGUAUCUUCACGUAAGGUAUUUCGCGAUUUCGAAGCCGUUUCACCUCUCGAGCUAAUAUUUUCACUGGAUGCUCCUCAAAGCUCAAAUCUUCUUGUAAAUCCACUGGAGUACGUCCCAAUAUGUGGGUUGGAUCAAAAACAUACUUUCGCAGUGUAGAGACAUGAAACACAUUGUGCACUCCCGAUAAGUUUGGCGGCAAGGCAAGCCGAACGCUACGGGGCCGAUCCGCUCCAACACCUCGUAGGGUCCGAUAUAUCGAGGACUCAGCUUCCCUCCUAUGCCAAAUCUCUUAACUCUUUUCGUUGGUGAUACUUUCAGGAAUACAUGAUCGCCAACCUGAAAUUCCAGUUCUCGCCGACGUUUAUCCACAUAACUCUUUUGUCGACUUUGUGCUGUCAGUAGACGUUCUCGUGCCAGUCGAACUUUAGCUUCAGUUUCGUGCAGUAUAUCUGGACCCAAAACUAAUCUUUCUCCCACUUCGCUCCAAUGAAGUGGUGAUCUGCACUUUCUACCAUAAAGGGCUUCAAAAGGUGCCAUCUGAAUACUUGCUUGAUAACUAUUGUUAUAAGCAAAUUCAGCCAUCGGCAGGAACUGUGGCCAACUGCCCUGGUAAUCAAUCACACAGGCCCUCAACAUAUCCUCAAAGGUCUGGAUAGUACGUUCGGACUUCCCAUCACUCUGGGGGUGGAAAGCAGUACUAAAAUCCAAUCGAGUACCCAUGGCCUCCUGUAAACUCUUCCAGAAAUGUGAAACGAAUCGGGUGUCUCGAUCUGAAACAAUCGAAGCAGGUACUCCGUGUAAACGCACAAUUUCAUCAAGAUACACUUGUGCGAGUCUCUCCGCCGACCAGACUGUAUGAAUCGGAAUAAAGUGGUCAGAUUUGGUCAAUCUAUCAACAAUUACCCAGAUUGUGUCGUGACCUGCUUGUGAGCGAGGUAAUCCCACGAUAAAAUCCAUAGUGAUCCUCUCCCACUUCCACACUAGUAUGGGUAAGCUCUGAAGUUUUCCCGCAGGAAGUCGAUGCUCAGCCUUAACCUGCUGACAGGUUAAGCAUCUGGCCACAAAAUCUGCAAUUUCCUUUUUCAUUCCAAGCCACCAGUAAUUCAGCUUCAAAUCUUUAUACAUUUUCGUACUCCUAGGGUGUAAAGCAUACGGCGCCCGAUGUGUUUCUGUUAGAAUCUCUUCCUUAAUACCAGGAUCCGCCGGUACACAAACUCUAUCCCCGAUUGGAGAACCCAGAACGGUGGUGGGUUUUACGAAUUCGGCCCAAUUCUCAAAUCAGGAUAAUAUAGAGUAUAUAUCCUGAUAGAUCCCAGAGUGUCAACGUUUCAAAUAUGUCUAGUAUUUUCGAAUUUCAUAGACAAAUGAGUUUUUCUUAAUUUGUACUCUGUUGCAUCUACCAACCUCAACGAGUUCCUAAUACUAAACUGAUAGGAGAUAGUAGGCCGUUUUCGAUUACAACAUCGUCUACGAAAUUCAGCUUUUAGCUGCCUUUUAAACCGCUACAGCUAUUGAAACGUUGGUAACAACCAUUUCCUUUACCUCGUUAACUUCAACCUUCAACAUCGAGGAUUGUGCGGAACCUCGGAAUACAGCAAUCACCACGUUGGAUGGGACUAGCUAGCUUAAUUUCUUUUCGUUCGAGUUCUACUUAAAAACGUUUUCGAAGUUCGUUUUUAGUGAUAACUAAUACAACCACUAAAAGCUCACCUACUAGUCCCUGACAACUUUANNNNNNNNNNNNNNNNNNNNNNNNNNNNNNNNNNNNNNNNNNNNNNNNNNNNNNNNNNNNNNNNNNNNNNNNNNNNNNNNNNNNNNNNNNNNNNNNNNNNNNNNNNNNNNNNNNNNNNNNNNNNNNNNNNNNNNNNNNNNNNNNNNNNNNNNNNNNNNNNNNNNNNNNNNNNNNNNNNNNNNNNNNNNNNNNNNNNNNNNNNNNNNNNNNNNNNNNNNNNNNNNNNNNNNNNNNNNNNNNNNNNNNNNNNNNNNNNNNNNNNNNNNNNNNNNNNNNNNNNNNNNNNNNNNNNNNNNNNNNNNNNNNNNNNNNNNNNNNNNNNNNNNNNNNNNNNNNNNNNNNNNNNNNNNNNNNNNNNNNNNNNNNNNNNNNNNNNNNNNNNNNNNNNNNNNNNNNNNNNNNNNNNNNNNNNNNNNNNNNNNNNNNNNNNNNNNNNNNNNNNNNNNNNNNNNNNNNNNNNCUAAACUCUUAACCCGGCUUAAGCAUUUUGGGUGGUGGCAAGACCCAAGAGGUUAAGAGAGUUAAGCGUGCUAGGACGGGAGUAGUCCUAGGAUGGGUGACCCCCUGGGAAGUUGGGGCGUCUCAGCAACGCUCGCCGUAGAGGUAGUGGCGCCAAAGCUUUAAAGCAAAUACCACAGCUGCCAAUUCCAGAUCAUGUGUAGGGUAGUUCUUUUCAUAAUCCUUCAACUGGCGAGAUGCAUAAGCAAUUACUCUGCCAUUCUGCAUUAAAACACACCCUAACCCAUUCAGCGACGCAUCGCUGUAAAUUACAUAAUCCAUUCCAGUAACCGGCAGUGCUAGAAUCGGGGCGGUAGUUAAUCAUUUUUUCAGCUCCUGAAAGCUUCUUUCACAUGCUUCACUCCACAGAAACUUAGCUCCUUUAUGUGUGAGUCGAGUGAGAGGGGUAGACAUCUUCGCGAAUCCUUCUACAAAAUCUUUGGUAGUAUCCCGCCAAACCAAGGAAACUCCGAAUCUCUGUCACGCUGGUCGGCCUGGGCCAAUCCGUAAUUGCUUCAAUCUUCUUUGGGUCCACAGCUAUCCCAGUUUCUGAAAUCACAUGGCCCAGAAAUGCCACUUCUCGAAGCCAAAAUUCGCAUUUCUUUAGCUUUGCAAAUAGUUCCUUUUCUCGAAGUACUUGUAACACCACUCUCAAAUGGUUUUCAUGCUCCUCAUCGCUUCGAGAAUAGAUCAAGAUAUCAUCGAUGAAGACGACCACAAACCUGUCCAGAUAGGGUUUAAAGAUAUGGUUCAUUAAAUCCAUAAAGGCUGCUGGGGCAUUUGUUAAUCCGAAUGGCAUGACUGUAAAUUCAUAAUGCCCAUACCGUGUCCUAAAGGCGGUCUUAGAGACAUCUUCAGGCUUGAUCUUAAGCUGAUGAUACCCAGAUUGCAAAUCAAUCUUGGAGUAUACUUUCGAUCCUUGCAGCUGAUCGAAUAAGUCAUCAAUUCUGGGCAAUGGAUAUUUAUUCUUGAUUGUGACUUUGUUGAUUUCUCGAUAAUCCACGCACAAUCGAAGAGAUCCAUCCUUUUUCUUGACAAAUAACACCGGUGCUCCCCAGGGCGAUACACUGGGUCAAAUGAAUCCUUUAUCUAACAGUUCUUGUAACUGUGCUUUCAGCUCUUUCAAUUCAGCGGGUGCCAUCCUAUAAGGCGCUUUAGAAAUAGGGGUAGUCCCAGGAACAAGAUCAAUCACAAACUCAACUUCCCUAUCAGGUGGCAUGCCCGGCAAUUCAGCUGGAAACACAUCCCCGAAUUCUCGCACAACCGGGAUAUCAUCAAUCUUGACGGCUUUUCCGUCACUCACAGAAAUGCUAGCCAAAUAUGCUACACAACCUCUCCGUAUCAACUGUCGUGCUCUCGACGAGCUAAUAGUCAUUGCGAACAAUGAACUCUGACACCCCUUAUAAACAAACUCUUGCUGACCUAGUUCCCUAAAGGUUACUGUUCUGUUCGUGCAAUCUAUAGUGGCAUAAUACUGUGUCAACCAAUCCAUACCCAAUACUACAUCAAACUCUCCUAGUUUGUGUAGUGCUAAUAAGUCUACUGGCAUAAUCCAGUCGCCUACCCUGACUGGGCAGCGAGGGCAAUACUCACAAAUAUCCAGGGUAUGGUUGGGCACGAUCACUCGUCCCGGAUACAAAGUAGGUACUAACCGUAUGCUAUGCAACUCGGCAAACAGCCGAUCAAUAAAGGAAUGUGAGGCACCAGUAUCAAAUAAUGCACGAACACGAACAUCAUGAAUCAAAAUAAUACCUGCUACGACCUCCUAUGCUGCUGCGGCGCCCUCAGUCUGAGCGGCAUACAUCCGCCCACUUGAACCCUGCUGCGAACUCUCCGACUGCCGCUGUCCUGGUGGUCGCCUAGACUGAUAGGGUGCUGUCAGGGUCCCCUGGCUCGGAGCUGAAGAUGCAGGUGCAGAAGCUGACGAGGGUGCAGGCAAAGAACCUCUCGGGCACUCUGAGCGAAAGUGGCCCUCCUGACCGCAGAGAAAACACCUGCCCCCACGUUGUGGACACUGUGGCGGCACGUGAGGCCCACCACAGAUAACACAACGCGGCGGUCGACGACGCUCAGGUGCUCCACGGGGGGCUGCUGAAGAACCUCGACCCCUCGACUGACCUGACUGGCCCCUCGGAUACUUUGGUGGCUUUCUGAAGGAUUGCUGACCACUGCUCUCAACUGCCGGUCUUUUUCCUUUUCUUCGAUCCACAAUAUCCCUUUCCUUCAUAAUUUCUGCCCCCUUCUCAACAAUCAAGGCCCGGUUCACUACAUCCCUAUAAGUAGAGAGGUUUGACGCCUGGACCAAUCUGAAAAUCGCAGGUCGCAAACCCACCUCAAAGAUACGAGCCUUGUCCUCAUCAUCUCUAACCACAAAAGGAACACAGUGCAGUAAUCGUGAGAACUCUCGCUCGUACUCAGCCACUGUCCUGUCCCCCUGUCUCAAGUUUCUCAAAUCCCUUUCCAUUUGUCUCUUUACACUCUGAGGAAAAUAGUAGUCAACAGUAAUUCCUUGAACCUCGUCCAGGUGAUAGCGGACAAAUCAGCACGGGGGUCCUUACGGAUAUCCACCCACCAUCUGUAAGCCUCGCCAUCAAGGUGGUGUGUCGCAAACCAAACUCGGUACCGCUCCUCAACAAAGGUAUCAUAAAAUAACUUCUCCAUAUGCAUCAGCCAUUUUUCAACCACCCAAUGAUCGGCUUUUUCCCCGUCAAAGAUACGAGGGUUGCAGCGACGGAAUUCAUUUAGUCGCUCCAUCAUCCGCUCUCGCACCUCAACCCCCACCAUCUCAGGUAACACUGUCCCUGCUGCAGGCACUGGUGCUGCUCGUGGCACUACUGUCUCCUGUCGGGGCUCUACCCUCAGGGCUACUGGGGGUGUAUCUGGUACAGAUGACUGUGCUCUCGCAGUCGUGUCCUUCUCUGGCGCUGUAGGUAUAGAAUCUGGAAUCUCUUUGUCGGCCGUCUGCCGCAGUAACAGACCUCUAACCUCUUUAUCCUGUCCUCCUGUCGACGCGCAGCGUCCAUCUGCUGUCGCGCUGCCGAUGCCUGCCGUGUCACUAGCUGAGUCAACACUGCGAGCUGUUCCUGUAACUCCCUGACCUCACUGGACCCCGAAGUGACGGAAGUCUCUACUUCUUCCGCAGCGGCCGCCUAAGCCGCCCCGGCGGUCCCAGAACGAGUCGUAGGCAUCUUGAGCUGCAGCACAAAAUGAAUAUAGAUUAAUAAAACCUAUACUAUUGACCCUUUACUUCAGAUAAAAAAAAAAUCAGCUAAUUAGCGAAAGUAAUGAGAUGUAACGCAUACUAACUUCCGAUGUUACGUUGUCGGCCGCCAACGUGACCCUCUGCAAAGUUAGUAAUUGCACAUCCCAAUCAAACUCCUACUAGUCGGAGUUUAUAAAUACCCAAUAAAAAUACUUUCGCUAACCACAACCUCGACUAGACGUCGUCUCUUACGAGCCUAUCCUUAUAGUCCAACCAGCUUAAGGUUUGCUAGGUCUACGAAGACUCAACCCUAGGCUCUGACACCACUAUAAUCUGUCACACCCGGGUACCAGCGGAAGCAUAUCAGGUACGUGCACAGACCCGCCAUACACCUGCAGUAUAUAAGGCGUCUACGAAGAAAGCAAGUCGAUAGGAAGUAAAACAAAGAGAGUCCUAUCCUGAUAUCAGAGCAAUGUACAAGUCGAUAUACUAUCAGUAAAAGAACAAAGAGUAUACAAUCCAAAAUCUCAGCAAAAGGAGAAGAAGUAUGAACUAUAACAUCUGGAUCUACAACUCAUAUACAACACAGGGUACACAAAAACAUCUAUACAAUGGUAGUCACUCUAUACAAUGGACAUCACCCUCGGCCGUAGCCCGAGUAGCAAGGUGAUCGACUAGCACGCUCCUAGCAAAGUCUAGCUAGACGCGACUCCCUUGCCACGAUCCCUAGCCUCUCCUGUAGAUGGCUCUGUAAAAACAACCAUAGAAAAGGGCGUGAGAACUAUUAACAAUAGUUCCCAGUGGGUAAGCCGUCAGCCUCGGCGAAUUACACCACUAGGCUCAUGAUGUAUUAAAUGGAAAGUAAAAGCAAUAAUUGCAUGAUGCUAACAAGUAAUGAGUAUGUAAUUGCAGGAUACCUUUCUAAUGCUAAGCAAUUAAUAAGCAUGUAAACAACAUGUAAUAGCUUUCUACAGUAAUGAAUUGAACAAUAAAAGCAUAGCAGCUACUGUAAGCAUGAACAUAAAUAUGAAUGUGUAAGCAGAAACUAUACACAAUGACCGGUGAUCAUUCAUUACUGUCCAAUAUCCUUUAGCACUUUCUUUUCAUUCACAGGGACCUACCCAAGGUAGUCCAGCUUGCGCCGCGCCUAAUGGCCCCGUGGUAGUAUACACUCCCCACGGCAAUCCACUUCGGCACCCAAUCCCGCACGGGCGAGCAACUGUCGCGUAGGCCAACUCCGGAGUGCCGGCUUGUAGGGAGCGACCCUCACAAGCGUGUGCGAAUGAGCACGAUGGCAAGCAAGCAUAUUUCACAGUCCACAGGUCUCAAUUAUCAUGCUUUCAUUUGUAAUGUUCUUACCCUCGAUCCUCUGAUCGGAAUUUCAAUACACGAAUAGUAACAAGAACUAGUAUCCACUAGAUUGUAAACAUGUAAGAGUAAUGUUAAAUCACAUGGCAUUAUAAUCUUUCCACUAUUAUGGCACUGUUAAUAUAAUCAUAAGCAUGUCAUAGUUCUCUACUUUAGAGUCAAGAGAAUGUCAUUGUUCUCUACUUUAUAAGUGCAUCCUACACUUGUUCAUAAGUCAUUCAACUGAAUUGAAUAUAAAUAUAAAUACUUUCAUGUAUAUGUGUUCUCUACUUUAUAGAGAUUUCAAUUCAAUUUUACUUCUCAAGUCCUAUAUCAAACACAAAAGCUCACAACAACACCAAUUCUAUAGUACAUAUAGAUCAUAGGGGAGCUCCACUUGCUCUGGUUAGGUCCGACCCACCUAGUACUAGGCUCCAAUAGUCACAAGAAGUCCCAAUAGUCAGCUCAACAAGGCUCCAAUCCUGCUGAACACAAACAUUAACACCGCAUCAAAAUGACGACCGAAAUGUCCGAUUUCGGCCUAAUUUACACUUAGUACAAGGUAAUAGCUUGAAUCCCUGCUUUGGGCUAGUGUAAUACCUCAAGUGUAACCUCCAAGAGUCCUCACAAGUCAGUCGAAGACGAUCCAAGGCUCGAUCGCAAUCUCGCUGCGAACAACGUCAAAACGGCGUCAAAAUGCUUGUAUAUAAGCUUAUAUGGUUCAAUUCUUGCGAAAUUGAAUUUCUAACAGAAAUUCCUGCUUACCCUUGGUUAGAACAGCUUUCAAAUCAGCUUCUAAGAGUACAAGUUCAGCUCAACGAAGCUCGAAGACCUGCUGCGAAGAAAUAAUCCCCAAUUGCAUCAAGUCGCUCCAAUAAUUUGCAUUUAGUUCCAAUUUAGCUUCAUAAAUGGCUAAUUCUCUCAAUUAACCUUCAAAGAAGCUUAUCCCUAGUCUAAGGAGCUUAAUUCACAGCUAAGUAAUUCAUUUUUAAUAGCUGAAUUCUCAGUUACGUCGGUUAGAAGCAAAAACUCAAACUCAAUACUCAAAUCGACAAUUAGAAUGCCGAUAACGGAAAACAUCGAGUCGUUUACCUUCUCAAGCUUCCAACCAGCGAACUCUUGGUUCGGGGAUGCAAAAAUCCCUCCAAAACGCUCUCUUGCACGUGCACAAAGGCGCUGCGACGCUCGCAACCAGCGAAGAACGCGCGCGACGACGAAAACGAGCGAAAUCGGCGACUUCUUUGUAGAGAGAGAAAAACCCUAGAGAGAGAGAGAGAGAAAGAUGGGAGAACACUCCUUUGGACUCCAGCAGGCUCCACUGAGUAUCCCUGGUCGAGCUGGGGUCUUAAAGAUAGAGAUCAAGUGUGAAAUUACCGAAAUACCCAAGCUGCCACGUUUCUGCAUUGUGUACCGGUACAAGCUAAUGGCUGUACCGGUACAGCAAGCAAAAAAAGCUGGUUUUCGCCCGAGCAAUGCACUUUCUUGCUUCUAACCUUCCAAGCACUCUUUAACUUAUUCAAAAACUUGUCCAUGUCCUAUAAAACAUGUAGAAGAGUUCCACACAUCAUUCCUCGCACUCGAAUUUCGCAAUUUGCAAAAAUUCAGUGUAUUACACUACUCCCUCUCUAAAUUAAAUACCACAUCCUUAAACAGGGAAGAAGCUCAACAUGUCUCAGGUUAUUUGUCUUAUAUGGAUACAAUUGACAUGUAACUUACUUUCAUGCUUAAUGGAUUCCAAGGGCUCUAACAUUAAAAUCUGAAAGUUAAUCAUUUUUUAGAACCUUAAUAUGCAACAUCUAAACCAGGAACAAGCAUAAUCCAUCUCAGAUUUUACUCUAAUCAUUCAUUCAAAUGUACAUUUAUAUGCAUAUAUGCUGUCCCUGCAGAAUUUCUCAGCUCCAUACACUAUUAUACCCACUUUAGCAAUCUAGAACUCUUUCGAAGCAAACAAUAUGUAAGGUACCGGACUUCUAAAACUAUGAAGUUACGGUGUACAUUUAAAUGGUUCCGGUGAGGUUGCGGUGGAAUGUAACAUACCGGAUUUUGAGUAUAAAGGUGAAAAUAAAUAAAAAUAGUGUGAUAUACUAUUUUAUUGGGUUUGGAGAAGUGAAAUAUAAAUUGAAAAUAAUCUGUGCUGAAAUCGGAGCGAAAACAGAAGAUUUAGAAUUUUCUGUGAGAAACGGGACAAAUAAAUUAGCAGAAAAUGUAUAGUGUCAAAAAAUUAUGAAAACUGGAGGAUAUGUCAGAAAUAUUUUUAUGAGGCUAGAUUUAAAGUUUCAUACCAUUCUGACACCUGUAGAGUGAGAAAUAAAAUCCGACAGUUAUCUGAUUAAGAUUACAGUUCGGCACAGUUUUCGAUGACCAAACGGGGUUGAAACUGAAAACUUAAGAUAUAUUCUUACUCAGUACGUUAAACUGAGCCUGCCUGUCAAAUUUGAGAGCAAACGGAUGUUCAGAAGAGCUCCAACGACUCCGAACUGCUAAACUGCUGCCCGAGGUGAAUAGUGUAAAGUUGCGGGACAGAUUUGUAAAAAAAAGGAUUAAAUCCCUUUCUUCUUCUUCCUCCCAGCCGAACACAACCCGCACACACACACAACACACACGCAUGGAAAGGAAAAGAGAGAACUUUCCUUUCUCUCUCUAAAUCUCUCCCAAAAUCAAAGGAAUUGGUGGAGAUUGAAGUUUGGAGUUGAAUCGUCUUCAUCUUCUUCAUCUUCUCUAUGGUUUGGAGCUAAUUUUGAGGUGAGCUUCUUGAACCCUCUCAUGGUAGAUCUCUAGGAUUAGCUUUAUAUGCUCUAGAGAUGGAUUUAGUAGAAUGCUUAGAUGCUAAUUAGAGGUUUAUUGCUUGAUUCAUGAAGUUAAGUAGUGGAUUUAGCUAUAAUGGCAUCUAGGGCUUCAAAAAUGGCUUUUUUGCUAAUAGUAGGGUUUGAUCUCAUUUGACCAUCCGUAAACCUAAUUGUUAGGUAAACAAAUGCGUUGGCGAAGACGGUUCGACGAUUCGUCGAGCCGGUGCGAAGUUAUUAAAGAAACGGACGUUUAGGCUUCGUUUCCGCCUGGAGGGCUGAGGCGACGUCGUAAAAUCAUGGAAUCGGUUUGAGGCACCGUAACAACAAAAUGAAGACCCUCUUUGCCCGAGGAUGCGAAGCAAUGCGCGGUUGGUGCGCAAUUGCAAGUUCCGACGGAACCGAGCACCGGAUGCCGCGGGAGGCCGAUUGCAAGUGUCGACAAGCAAUCGGAAUGCACUAACAGGUGGGUUGUGCUUACCGAAGCGACUAGGUCGCCCUCAUGUCGAAGAAAAAUAUGAUUUCCUAGUUGAUGCAUAUAAUGGGUUAAAUGCUAUAUGAUGCAUGUGAUGUGAAGAUUGGGUAAAUGCAUAUAAUGUGAGAAAUGUAUAUUACAUGAUAAUUGCAUUGAAUAUAAUGCAUGUUAGUGGACAAUGGCAAAUUAAUAUAACAAAUGUUAGAGAGAUGCAUGAACUAAAUGUUAGAGAGAUGCGUGAAAAUGGUGUUGUAUGAAUGCAUAGGCUAUAUUAUGCAAGUUGGAACAUAUGCAUGUUAAUGUAUUUGUGGACUAUGUUGAGUAACAUAUGCUAAUUAACAUAUGCAUGUUGACUUGGGUCUAAAACUCUUGGAUGAUUAGAAAACUCGACAUUGGAAAUACAANUGUUUAACACAAUGACCCAGCCCAAACUGGGCAUUUUCGGGUGCUGGGACGGGUCCCAGGCAGUGAGAGACCGGUCCCCGAAAGGCCAGAAUUUCUGCAUUCCAGACUUAGCCAAAUUUUCAGCAUUUUCAGCCUUCGGGUCCGUUUUUUUCGCUCGUUUUCGCUCGUUUGACCUCCGAUUCGUUUCAAAUCGAACCGCGACUUUCCAAACAUGUUUUCGAACAUGUUUUCAUCAUCUUUUCAUCCAUGCCCUUGCUAGAUUUAGUCCAUGGUCCAUCAUAGCCUUUCAGGCUCCGUUUUCGCGCCCUACGCGCAUUGAAGCAACCGAAUGCUUCCGAACUUCACCGUAACCAUUCUAACGGCUUUCCAUGCUAACAUACACCAUAACUUCAUAAUUACAGAAGUUUGGUAUGUUACAUUCUCCAUCCCUUAAAAAGAGUUUCGUCCGCGAAACUCAGAUCCAAACCACAAUUCCUCUCAUCAAACAGAUGAGGACAAAUCCACGCACUACGGCUAGAGUGUCCUAGGAUUUCACUCUAUGCGUUCAUUUCGACGAUCAUCUAUCUACAGAACCACAUCGUUCUGUAAUGUCCUCUCUUCAUGAGUCCAGAAUGCACAUCACUUGGCUUUCCUAAGUCACUUUCUCAAGUAAUGGUGCAUUCCCCCAGUCUCGGCGGUAAUACUGGCUUACAAGUCACCGUAACCACACACUCCAAUCCUCAUAGGGUUCACUGUACCGAGAACUAACCUUUCCUCGACACGAACCCAAUCACCCCACAUGGGUGACACUGUCACCAAAUGUCAUAUCUAACCGCGAAUUCACGACUUCGCCGGCGCCUAACAGCACAAUUUAGCUAUCGCAAUUGUGCACGGUGAACCUUCUUCUCUUCCCAAUCCUAGAGCGACUCUUUCGCUCACCAUAUUCUAACGGAUAGGGACCGACCUACCCUUCCAGUGAAAGUCUCAAGUACCAUCGCCAUAUUAUUACUGGCACACUUUCCCAACCUCACAGUUAAGCACCUAGGCUUUAAACUCAUCUUGUCACCCUCGACUAACCAUCAUCCCGAGGAUGAAAUGCGGUACAUAAUUAGCAUACCGUUUACCUUUCAAAUUUCCACCAGUUCAAUUAAUAGUGCGAAUCGAUAUCCAACGAUUCACCAUAUUCCAAUACCAAUCCCGAUCGAUCACACGAGGGACUUAUUUCGCCUCAAUUGCCACACUAGCUCAACUCUUUUCGGUUGGCACAUUUCAACAUGGGCGCUCUUAAUUGCCUCUUACCAUUCAACCAAUCAUUGCCCGCACACUCUACUCGUCGGGCCAGGGUCGUCAUUAAUCACCCUCACUAAACGACGUCAACCGCCAGACACCACUCUCCUUCGAGAGCAAUACCACCUAUCGAUUCGAGUGGUUAACCGUCACUUCUCAUACAUACAGGUAGACCUCCUCGAUCCACACGAGAGUCCACCAAAUGGUAUUCUACCAUUAUCGCCACUCAAGAGUCUAUCUCGCCAAGUAUGACUCUUUAUUACAUCCACACUCUCCGGUGAACCUCACUCAGGUUCUUCAAUCUGCAUCACUUCACACGACAUUUAUAGUGCAUCGCUCAACCGCGGAUGCUCCAACCGCACAUGGACUUCGGCUCUACAGUGAGACGGCUCAUUUCGGCACAUCCACCAACUUUGGUUCCCUAAGAGCCCAGUCUUUCCAAACCUCACGUGGCUUAAACCACCCCAACGUCUAUUGGAGAACAUCUCCAUUUCUCUAUCACGUCCCAACAUCGCAUCACUUUCACGAUGAGUUCCCGCGAACACUUCGUUCGAGCAUCCAAUCUUAACUCACCGACAACGCCAGACUUGGCGAUCCCAACUUGCGAGCAGUAUGACCGAGCCUCCGCUCCAAUGGUCACUACGCUCAAACCACCAAGACCCUAUCGAUCAAUUAGAUCGCUUAUCUUAAUUACCACAGGUGGUCCAUAGACCAACCAUCCAACGUAGGCUUACCGCCAACCCGUCUCGAUACUAUGCAGCGUCUCUCAUUCGCAACGCAGACCCAAGCAUCACUUGGCGAAAGUCCUCAUUUGAGACUUCGCACACACUCCAAUCAGGAGACCUCAACCACUCCAUAUCUUUGGGUCAUAAUUACACUUACGACUCAUUAUAACGAGCCAUGUUCACCUCUAUUGGCAGUUAAACAUCUAAGCCCUCUCAAUUUUCAUAAUUAUAAACAGCCCUUACUGGGCCAUUCCUGCAGUCGAGGACCAGUCUCUCCCCGAUGCAACCGGUCUCACGGGGACCGGUCCCUCGCCGAAGAACUGGUUCCCGAGAGCUUGAUUUCCAGGACUUAGCCGAUUUUUCUCCUCUGUUCGGCUGCUGCGCGCACGGGGACCGGUCUCUCCCCGCAGGGACCGGUCCCCGAGAGCCCAAAUUCUGGAACUUCACCAGAAUUGCAGUUUCGCUCUCUCGGGUCCCCAUACACCAUAAGUAUAGGCUCCAAAGCACUCUUAGCCUACACCAACUCAUUCCAUUCCGCGUUCCGCUCGUUUCGACGGAACUCGGCACAACAUAUAGGGAUGUGAUACGCUACACUUGUACCUUAUACUUGAGCUCUUAUGCUUACGAUACACACGCAUGAAUUUUCCUCAGCAUUGUUGAGGUACCACUCGGCCACUCGCCAAAACUCGGCGAUUGCUCAACUAUCUCCACCACAACGGGGACGUUACAACCACCAGUCGAGCCCUGGGAACAUCACCCGAACUCUUGAACCGCAGGGUCAUCCUCAAGCAUCCCGACUUAACUCUCACAAUUUCGCUACUCACAUUGCCUAGAGAGUUAGUCCAUCAACUCCACCUCUAUCUCGAACUUAACUCUCGGCUCGCAACCGCCACUUGCCGGUCUAAUCCAAUCACACCUAUCCACUGGGUAGGCGAUAUCACUAUUACGCAUGCAUACCAGGGGAUUAAUUUUAUCCACAAUCUCUAUCUCAACUAUACUUAUGCAUGCAACAUUUCGAAUCCACCUUAGAUCCGGUCAUACAACCUCUUCCGACGCACCACUCCUGCUACAACACCCCCUGUAGCAGUGGAUUCCAUAACUAGGGUCGCUUGCUCAUAGCCACUUGACGCUCAUCGCGAACCCUCCGAUCGUAUCACCGAUCUUUCAUACUCUCCAGACCAAGCCGCAGGCGGCACACUCAUAAGCGACCUCAAAAACAGAGAUCGACGCCAUCACUAAGGUCCGGCUAUCCACCAACAGUACUCAACCCUUAUUCGGGUCGGUUGCCAACACCAACCACAUCAUCUACCCCGCAACACCCUAUGGCGUCUGGUAGGAACCACCACAACCAACACCUCCCUACAAGGUCAACAAAAGACCUCGGGAAUGAUAUCCACAACUUUCUCCGGGUCGCCAAAAAUUUGAUGGACCACCCGAUCCGUUCAUCAGUCGCGUCACUCAUCACUUCGCAUCCAACCGAUCUGCGCUCCUCUUGGGCACAACAACACCUCAAUUCGCUCCCACACGCACAAAUCCUCCAAAAAGAACUUCCACGGAGUCAUUCCACAUAUGUCCGUCCCGCGGAUAUCAUUCCGUCAAAAUAAGCGGAUCAACUUCCUUAGGAAACCAUCCACCGUUCUCAUGAGCCUCCAAUCCCUCUAUUCCUUGUGCAUUGCAGCCUCCUGCUGACAUUGCACCACAUCGGCUCGUCACUUUGCCACUACGACUAGUACGAUCAAUAGACUUCAGAGCCCCGAGUCUCCACUAUGCUCGGCUAACUCAUGAACAUCACUUGUCCCGGUCCACAACAAUCUCCUCAAAGAUCGGCCACGCGUAACCACCGAAUGCACAACAACUCAACCCUCAAGGUCAAGCACGCGACACCAACACGCAACACUAUCCACGACUCAAAUCCAGGCGAAAGUCAUGCAAGGCAGCCUAUUUUCAUUACUCGGUUUCGUGUUGUGUGCACCCAACACGAACACUCCAUAAUGAAAAUACACUACACCUUGGAUCCACCUCUAACAUCCGUUAUAGAGGCAUACCAAACACGACCCAAUUAGUUAACCUUUCGCCACAAUUUCAAAUCNUUACUCGGUUUCGUGUUGUGUGCACCCAACACGAACACUCCAUAAUGAAAAUACACUACACCUUGGAUCCACCUCUAACAUCCGUUAUAGAGGCAUACCAAACACGACCCAAUUAGUUAACCUUUCGCCACAAUUUCAAAUCCUUGUUACAUUUCAAGAACCUAAAGCCUUAUGGUUUCCAACCUAUGGUCCCUAAGUCCAUCCUAGACUUUUGCUUUCACUUGCUCUGACACCACUAUAUCUGUCACGCCCCGUGUCACGCCCCGCCCUGAAACCACUACCAAUUUGGCACGGCUCGGCCGCGGCGGCGGACCGCCGAACGGACAGCACCUCCCUUGUCCGCCCAAGGCUCAACGACAGGAAUGUGUACAAGAAUUGACACAGGACUUUAAAUUCUAAACAUACACAUUCAACGAGGGCACAAACAGUGCCAACAACAAGAAGAGCAAGUAAUCCACAAGAUAUACGAGUGAAAUAAAGAGAGUACUUUACUAACUAUUACAAUAGUUGCAUUCAUUACAUCAUUUUUUUCACCCAAAAUACAUAGCUCUCCAAAUCCUCACCUACAAUGCAUCUCUCUCUAUACAUAGGGGACUAAUGCAAAAAGGAAAGCUACUAUACUACCACGGUCUCACUGGUCGGGCGCGACGCCCUUGCCGCGGUCCUCUCUCUGCAGCCCUGAACCUACCACUGAAAAUAGAGUGGGGUGAGAACUAUCUUCCAUAGUUCCCAGUGUGCUCGGCCGCCGACUCUGCCGAUCUCCCCACUAGGUCCAAGUGGGCACAAGUAACAACAGAUAGAUAGAUAUGUAUCUGAAAGCUGUAAAUGCGGUAGUAGGAAAACUAUGCUACUAUGCCCAUAAUCAUGAAUAUGAAUGCAUGCAUCAUAUAAUAAAGGUUUGCUACCAUGCUAACAAUUUCGAUCCAUAUUCGAAUAGCAAUGUUCAAUGACAUUCAUAAACCUUUAGCCUUUUUCAUUUACCCAAUCUGUGGCGAGGCCCUAGGGCUCGCCCAUGACUCACCUUCAAAUCCCAAAGUGGGGAGGGAGCUCCAAGUGCACCCAAGCCCGGGACCGUCUGCGGACCUCCAUGUGGUCCGGACCUCCAAGUGGUCCUAGUCGCGCGACACUCCGGAGUACUCGACGACAAUCCCCUCCAUGUGGGGAUUGGAUGGCUAUACCAUCCUAAACGCAGACUGUGAGCUAGAUCUAUCCUCUCCAAGUGAGGAUACACUGUAACUAGGGUCAACACCCAAUCCAAUCCUCUCCAAGUGAGGAGGCUCUACAACUAGAGUCAAUAACCCAAUCGAAUCCUCUCCAAGUGAGGACGCCCUACACUAGGGUCAACGACUAUCGCGGAAUCAUCGGUUCCCGACAUUCAUGCAAUGCUAUUUAGUUUUCUAAAUUCAUUGUUCACAAGGCAUUUUCUAAGGGAUCCACCUAUCCCUAGGUCCAUCGACCUCUAGUGUUAUUUACACUACAUUAAUGCCACUCGUUAUCAUUCAAUGUUUGGAUGCCACUCGUUUGUUCUUUAACAAUAACACUACUUUCUAUGUCAUCAACACCCCCAUCGGGUUCAUCUCUAUCUUUAGCAUCAUAGGAUCCACCUUCCGACCCAAUCCUCACCUAUCUAGUUACCAAGCGUUCCAAGUACACUAGGUCAUCAAUUAGAAAGCAUAAGGAAUGGAGCUACUAUGCAAUCCUACAAUGCAACAUGAAGAGAUGAGAUUAAAUGCAAUCUAAGACAUAGAAAGGAGUUCGAAAGUUUCGGAUGACACCCCCCACCUUUAAUCGAUGUAGAGGUUUCGGAAAUCUCUCUCGGCGAGCUUUACGAAAAGGCUUUAGCCUUCCUCGCCCGAAUCAACACUAGCCUGGCCCGAUUUGCCGAGAACUUCACGUCGGUUCGCCGAAUGCCAAAAUCGACUUCGCCCCCGCGUUUUGGGACCUAUCAAUAGGGUUUCCAAGGCUUCAAAUGAGAUCAAUCUCAUACUUUUACAAAAACCCCAUUUUGAAGCCCUAGAUUUGCACCUAUAGCAAACCACCUAAUAAAUCCCUAGAUCCUUAGGAUUGAUCUAUUUAGAACCUUGCUUAGGUUCCAUUUGACCCAUUCCAAGGCAUAAAACCCAAAAACCCUAAGUUCUAGAAGCUAGGGUUGUAGCUUACCACUUGAGCUACACCAAUGGGAAGAGGAGAGGGAGAGGAAGAUGCUCCUAGCCUCCUUUUUCUUCUCCUCCUUCUUCUUCUUCUCCUCCUUCUUCUUCUUCUCUUUCUUCUUCUCCUUCUUUGUUAUCUCUAGAGAGAGAGAGAGCAAGAGAGCAAGAGAGAGAGUGAAAUGAGAGAGUGUGAGGGAGAGAGAGGGCUCAGCCCACUCAAAUAAAAGCCAUUUUGCACAAAAGCCCCUCAACUUUCACUCCUGCGUACUGCUCUCACUAGGCUAUUUUCGCGCGGAGGGACCGGUCUCCCCGACUUGGGACCGGUCCCCGAGGGCUUCCCUCGGGCGCACGCGUUCGGGAACCGGUCUCUCCUCGGGAGACCGGUCCUCACCUGGGAGACCGGUGCCCGAGAGCUCGAUUUUCAGGACUUAGCCAAUUUUUGGCAUCUCUCGCUGGAACCACGUUCGGGAACCGGUCCCUCCCUGCCAGGGACCGGUUGCAUCACGCAACCCCGCUACACCCAGCCAGGGGAACCGGUCUCUCACCUGCAGAGACCGGUCCCCGAGAGCAAUAUCAGCCCAAUGAUGCAAUUUGCCUCAUUUGCUCUCGCGGACUCAACUCCAAGGCACUUUUUGUGCUUUGAACAUUCCCAACUCCCACAAAGGGUAUACUCUCGACAAUUAGUCGAUCCUGGAUGAAGUACAAUCCUCACAUUUCGAGAAUUCACUUCCUUACACCCCGCGACCGCCAAUUUGGUCGGUUCGGGCACAUCAACAGACGCCGAACGGACAGCACCUCCCCUGUCCGCCCAAGGCUCCUACAGUACAUGUAUAACAUAGCAAUUCAAACAUAAUGAAUGCAAGUAUAUACGGCUUGCACGAGGGCAAGCAACAACCAAACAUAAGUGAGAGCAAUCUAACUAUUACAUUUAUACAUUGUAUCUUGAUCAUUUUCAAUCAAAUACAAAGCUCAUACAUUUCUUUACAUUCAUUCAUCUCAAUUUACAAUUUCACCUCUCAAAGGAACUUAAUACAUUUUCACAUGUCACAUGAAUUUAUUACAUUUACAUUUUACAUUUUACAUAAUCGACAUAAUAGAUGAAAUAUACAAAGGUGCCUCUAUACACAUAAAGGUAGCACACUACCUUGAGCACGAUAACCACGCCACGAGCCCCGAUCGUCCCGCUCGCGCUAGAACCUGCAUGGUUAGUGGGAUGAGAACUAGAAGAAGUUCCCAGUGGGUUCGGCCACCGACUGCGCCGAUUCGCCCACUAGGUCUAUUUCAGGCAUAUGUAUUUCAAUAAGGAAGGAUAACAAACCAACUAAUGCACUUCUAAUACAAUGCCUGCAAGAAAGCAAAUCACAGAUAGAUAUUCAUAUUCAAAUACAUGAUGAUUAUGCAUGCAUGUCCUUUUCACUUUCCUAUGGUCAACUCGGGGUGCUCCUGGUUUACCCCAACACACAGUCCACACACUUUCCUUUGGCCUUUACCCAAUCAACCAUGGGGUGCUCCUGGUUUACCCCAACUCACAGUCCACAUAUCCAUCUAACGGGGGAGGCACAAAGCACUACCACCCGAAGGAUCUUCGCCGGGCAUGUCGACCCGUGGUGUUUUCAUCACUCCGGAGUACACCGCCUGUGGAGGAGCGACCUCCCACAAGCCGGAACCAAUACAUGUGAGUAUGAUCCCCUCCUCAAUUUGAGGAGGUAUAGCCAAACCUGUCUCAAUGCCACAAUGCCGAUGAAAGGUCUUUACCUAUUCAUGCGUAUACUACCAUUUCCCAAUAUCACAAUGGUCCUGAUGCCACAAUAUCGAUGAUAGGUCUUUACCUAAUCAUGUAUGUCACUUUACUAAGCCACAAUAGUCACAAUGCAUAGAAUGGUCUUUACAACUUUAACCAUGAUGCCACAAUACCGAUGAUAGGUCUUUACCUAAUCAUGUAUGUCACUUUACUAAGCCAUAAUGUCCACUAAUGGGAUAGUCAAUAUUUCACAAUGCUUUAAGGUUUUACCUUAUCUAGCACAAUAUGUUCUCGGUGCCAAUCAUGUCACUAGAGUCAAUGUCGCCUUUAUUUACUAUGGAUCAAGUCUUUUCUCACUUUCACAUACAUAUAGGGUUGUUCAUUUUCUCGUUCUCAUGGCUCUACAACAUGUUUGCAAUGUUCAUAAACAGAUAAUUGAUAUAAUCAACAUUUAUCUCAUUACCCUACAUGCAUGAGUACAACAUUAUCAACAUGCUCAAAGAAGCGACAUAGACAUAGAAAGAGAUCCGGUGUUUCCGGAUAGCACCCCCCCACCUUGUAGGAAUGCCGAGAAGCCCCGAUUCCAUUUUCACGAUUUUUAGACACCAACGCCGCGAGCUGCGGCCAUCUGUACCAAUUUAGCUUGUUUCUUCAAUAUCUUCGUACCGGCUCGACGAAUCGACGAACCGAGCGCACCAACGUGUUCGUUGACCUAUCAAUUAGGUUAACAAGAGAUCAAACUUAAGUUAGAUCUCAACUUUACAAAAUUCCAUUUUCUAACCCCUAGGGUUUUCAUCUUUAUGAAAUAACCCCCAAGCACAUGGAAAUCCAUGUCUAAAUUUACCAUAGCUUCAUCUAGAAGCUAGAUCUAAAGAGAAAUACUCAAACCCUAACAUUAAAACCAUAGAACCCUCAAAUCUUAGGUUACUUAUCUUAGAUCCAAGCUUUCUUCCAAGCUAGGUUGCCAUGAGAGGGUUCCUUCAUCACCUAGCAAGCUUUUCUCCACCAUGGUUUCACCAUUGGAGCAUCUCAAGGAGGGAGAGGGAGAGAUCUAGAGAGAGAGAGAGCUCUCAUGUUGGUGUUGGAGAGAAAGAAAUGAGGGCUAAACCUCAUCUCUCCAACAUAUAACCUCAUCCAAACACAAUUGCACAUAACCCGCCACACCCCUCAAUGUUUAACACAAUAACCCAGCCCAAACUGGGCAUUUUCGGGUGCUGGGACCGGUCCCAGGCAGUGAGAGACCGGUCCCCGAAAGGCCAGAAAUUCUGCAUUCCAGACUUAGCCAAAUUUUCAGCAUUUUCAGCCUUCGGGUCCGUUUUUUUCGCUCGUUUUCGCUCGUUUGACCUCCGAUUCGUUUCAAAUCGAACCGAGACUCUCCAAACAUGUUUUCAAACAUGUUUUCAUCAUCUUUUCAUCCAUGCCCUUGCUAGAUUUAGUCCACGGUCCAUCAUAGCCUUUCAGGCUCCGUCUUCGCGCCCUACGUGCAUUGAAGCAACCGAAUGCUUCCGAACUUCACCGUAACCAUUCUAACGGCUUUCCAAGCUAACAUACACCAUAACUUCAUAAUUAUAGAAGUUCGGUAUGUUAUAGAAUGAAUGAAUGUAAUAACUUAGGAUGUGUUUAUGUUGUUUGAUACCUUCGUUAUGCAAUCGUUAUAUGUUGAAUACUGUUCCUGGUUGGAAUCUAUUGUAAUUGUAUUGAUUGCGACGCCUUAGACGUACAGGGGAAACUCUGUCCGUUCGGCGGUCUGUCGGCGUGCCGAACCUGACCAAAUAGGCGGGCUCGGGGCGUGACACAAUACUACUCAAAUUCGAAUUGGGCAUCAUUCUAACCCGAAUUCAGAGCUUCCCCAAGUUGCUCUCAGCUCAAUUCUCUUCUCCUCAGCUGAAAUUCUUUCUCGGCAACUCUACCAGGCCAAAAACAUCAAGUCUGCCAGCUCUAGCAGCAAGAAACACUUAUGUAGAUCAUCUCUAAGUCAAUUAACUUGACUAAAAUCAGAUAUUAACCAAGCUUACCUUAAUUAGAUGCUGUACCAAGUUGCUCUCAGCUUCUUAAACCUUCCUCUCAGCUCAAUUUGUCUGCACUUCUCCACUUUCUUCUUAACCUACUUACUUCUACGGUUGAGAAAGAAAGAAAGAGAGAAUUAGAUAAAGAAGAGAUAAAGAGAUAAUGAUCCCAACAUCUAAGCUGGUGCUGGGUACCUGGGGUUAAAAGAUAAGACCAAAAAAUCGCACUUUAACCCCCCAAAGGACUGAAGUUGCAUUGUAGUCCAGCAGUUCGCAGUUCAGUCCCUGCAGGUUCACAAAUCAGUCCCUGCAGGUUUACAGUUCAGUCCCUGCACUAACAGCAGCUGGCAGCAGCAGUUUUUAGCCCCUUUUGCGCAUCUAAUUUACUUCGAGUCCUUUCAAACACUUCCAAAAUACACUAAUAAACCUCCACAAGCUACUAAUUUAGCUCGGAAGCAACCAAUUCCAUUUUAGCAUUUAUCUUGAUAAUUUCACGCCCGACUUGCAUCAAACACUCAAUUACCUCCAGAAAUUAUUCCCAUACCUCCAAAAUCACUCGGGAAUGAUGCACAUCCAAUUCAAACUUCACUUUCAUCUUCCAAAGCAAAGUUAGCGUCGCAACUCAAAAUUUCAGUACACUACAAGGAUGGACCUAGGAGACCCUAGGUUGGCAACCUUAAGGCUAUAGGUGCGUGAGUGAGACGUGAACCUAUACCGGUGGCGGAAGUUGAUCGAUUGGGUCGAAGUUGAUAGUAUGUCUCUAAUGGUUGAUAGAGACGGAUUCGAGUGGUAUUAUUUCUCGACUCGAAGUGGUUGUGUUGGCGGCCGACAACAUGACGCUAAGAGUCUAGAAUAAUUACACUUGUGUGCUUCCGCCCGAUUUCGAUGUUGAGUUGUUUGUCUCGUAGUUGCAGGAAGUUAACGGGUUAAUGUGAUUCACCAAUUUGUUGCAUUUCAGGAGCUAUGGCACAGAGGGGACGCCCUAAGAUUAGAUCCACUCCGGCACCACCUCCCGAGGUACUGGAGUGGAUCUAGUCUCAGGAGCUAUGAUUACGCUAACUUUGCUCUGGAAGAUCAAAGUUAGCGUCGCAACUCAAAAUUUCAGUACAUUACAAUCUACCCCCGUUAACAAAAGUUUCAUCCGCGAAACUUAGAUACACUUAUAUAUCUCCAUUUAUCUAAUUAACCAGAUGAGAAUAGAUCUCAAUGUUCACCCAUAAUAGAACUAUACAAUUCUGUAAUUUUCUCAUUCUCACAUAUCCAGAGUGCACAAUCAUUCAUUCCAUCUAGUAACUCUGCAGCUCUUACUUUGAUACCCAUGAGGAGUUCUAUUCAACAAUUUGAAAUUCAUUACGCAUUUCCUUACAUACUUCACAUCUAAGGGCAAUUUCCUUAUGCUCACCAUCCCCUAACGAAUGGGGGUUAAUCCAAUCCUUUAGAUUUGGCACCAUAAUCUCAUAAUUUUUGGUAACCAGUUGUAUCAAUUAUCUUAAUAUAAUUACUCAUGCACGUCGAGAAUAUACCUUGUUCUUCCAACUAACUAUUAUAAGUUCUCUAAAUCCCAAUGGCAAUGCAAGUAAACAUUCAAUGACUUACUAUACUCCAGUCUCAUUUACUAUCAAAGACUUAUUUGCCUUGGUUACCACACUAAUUCAAUUCUCGCAUAAGUAAUAUGCUUUAGAAUUAGCAUUCUCCUCAUACAAUCAACAACUACCCGCACCAUCAACUUAACAUGCCCCUGUCAUCAUUCUUAUCAUCAAUAGAUGAUAACCAAUUCAUACCAAUAAGCAUUAUUUUACUUCAAAGAAUAGUACUAUCUGUUUUUCUCACGGUGGGGAUCAUUCCUGCAUGGCGCUUACUCGAAAAGUCCGUAGACUACCUUGAUUCAUAUACAAACUUAUCAGGUAACAUCUACUAUACCCAUUACUCUCUAAUGGAGUCUACUUUGAUUUCUCAACUGGCAUCGCUACCUGCGAUAUCGCAAUACACUGCUCAAUUGUGAGUGUUUAAUCACACACAAAUUUUCACUCCUCGACAAAGGGCUCAUUCUAACAUCUCCACAACUCCAAUGAUUUGAAGGCAUAAUCCUCCAAAAUCUCACGUGGCUUCCACUACACAAUAAUCUCAAAGAAAAUCUUUCACCACGAGUCUCUACGAACACCUCUUUCGUGCCAUUGAUCUUAAUUCUUCAUUAGCGUCUAACUUGGUGAUUCAAAAUAAGCAAACAGUAGGACCGAGCCUUCGCUCCCAAGGUCACUACUCCCGAUUCACAAUACUACAUUAACUCUCGCAUAUCGAGAGCAAUCGGUUAAAUUGCUUAUCUUAAUUAUCAUAAAUCGGUUCACAAACCACCGAUUCGCCGUAGGUCGAUUACCUAACUCAAUCGCGACAUUACAUAACGUCUCUUGCUCGCAAGCAUAGACCCAAUCAUCAUAAGACAAAGUCUCCCUUGAGACCUCGCACACAUACUCCAACUAGGAGCAAUCCAAAUUCCAAACCCCUACUAUUAUAUCGUUGGGUCAAACUUACACCUUCAGUGUAUCACUAACCACACGGUCCAAUAUGUGGCAUACCCCAUCACUGAUCUAAGCUCGGACUACCGUCCUGACCAUAACCUCUGCCCUACCCAUAGGUAUCGGGCUGCUGUCAUACAUAGUGGAUUGCGCCUGGUCAAAUGGCCUCAGGCCCCAAAGUCCACACAUGGUCCAGGUACGGAUCGUCCUCAAGUAAUAUCCUCAAUCGUCGUCGCUCACGAUAUGCUCAACAGAGCAAUCCACAUCACUAUUGGCUCCUAGACACCUAGUGCGAGCCACCAACCCAAUAAGUGAUCCAUGGCACGCUUCACACCUCGCAACGCUCAAGUGCUACUGCCAACACACUCUUGGCCGAUCCACAAUCCACACUCUACGAACGUUUAUACUCAAGCGUCCUAUACUACUACUCCUCUCACUAAACAUCACACGCUUGGCACUCCGCCUACGCCUACACAUACAAACACAAAUUUCCUCAUCCUAGUUAAGGUACAACUUGAUUAACUCGCCCAAAACCAGGCGAUCAUCUAACCAAUCUACAACAAGGACGCUAUCACUCUACUCGAUCUAUCGGAAUACCAUCCGAAUUCUCGAGCUCUAGAGCGUCUUCUAGCGUUCCAAUCUAAUUCUCACUAUCACCCAAAUGCUUUAAAGAGUAGGUUCACCAUUUCCAUCUUCAUCCCGAGCCCCAACAUUGGCUCACAGCAAACCACUCACUUGCACUAUCCAACCGCCUAUUCAAACGAUAGGCGAUACACUUUCUUCAUCUAUGCACGCUAGGGUAUUAUAUCUCCCCAAAUCCAAGUUACACUCUUACAUGUACCGCUCGGAGUUCGCAUCGUUUCCAAGUAUACAAUCUUCCUACUGAAGUCAAUUUACUAUAACUUCACUUAUCCAACAACACACGCGGCCUUGCUGGUGAAAGUUAUCACAACCAUUCCUCUCGAAGAAAAAGGUUAACCAUUAGACCUUUCCGAAUUCUAGGAUGACGACUGCAACUCUCUUCCGGGUAUUGCUUAACACUCGAUUGACCACCCGAACCAAAUAUAAGUCGCUUACCCUUCAUUCUCACUAAUCAAUUCGCACCCCUUCCGCGCGAGAUAUCACCUAACUUCAACCACAAGGUCCAACUCAAUACUUCAUCGAAAAUUGUGAAUUAGGAGAACGUAUAACUUCUUUUAUCAAAGUUUCGAUAUAUCACAACCGGCCUCGUUCCCAAUGUCUCACACUAUAUACUAAGCACACUUCAGCAUGCAGAAAAUCCUUCUACAUACUUUUUCACCGAGCAGUCCCCCUGCUAUAACUCUCACAACUUAUCUGAAAGCUCAUUUGUCGUAUAUUCCAACAGCAAAUUCUAUAUCCUAUCCCAGAUACACAAAUCUUUCUAGGGAAAUAUUCCUGAAGCCAAUCCACAGAUCUCGACCCGCGAAUAUUCCUUUAUCAAAAACAGAUGGACUAAAAUUUUCUGAAGGCCACAAGGGUUAUCCACAAUUGCCCUCAUCUGCUUUCUAUACUGCAAAGCCAGAAGUCGAUUUACCCAAUUUCCAACAAAACGACCUCUAUCAUCACUUCCAGCUACCCACAACAAACCACAAAUGGCGCGGUUAUCAACUACGCCACAGCCUUCUGGUGUCCCCUGACUCAAUUCGCCAAAUACAAUACUGCUUCCCACUAACAUUGCACUACAACUAUUCAUCGCCAAAACCCUACCACGGGUGUGACAAACCGAUCCCAAUGCCUUGAGUUUCCUCCAAGCUCGGUUAACUCAAGGAUUCCACUCAUACCGAACCACAUUGAUCUCAUUAGAGAUCAACUACACAAAACCACUAAACGUGCAACAACGCGACCAAUUCAUGACCUUCAAGGUCAAACACGAAACAACUAUCGUCAACCCAACUCAAAUCAGGUGAAAGUCAUACAAGGGAGCCUAUUCUCAUCACUCGGUCUCAUGUUGUGUGCACCCAACAUGAACACUCCCUGUUAAGAAUACACUUCACCUUGAAUCCACCUCUAAGAUCCUUUUUAGAGGUAUACAACACACGACCCAAUCAGUUCAACAUUUCGCCACAUAUCAAGAUUCUCGUCUCUCACGAACCUAGAUCCUUAAUGGUUUUCCAUCCUAAGGUCCUAGGUCCAUCCAAUACUUUCACUUGCCUUGCUCUGAUACCAUUUAAUCUGUCACGUCCCGAGAACGCCAAUUUGGUCGGGUCGGGUCCGCACACAGACGCCAGACGAACAGAACCUCCUCUGUUCGUCUAAGGUUCAGCAAUAACAAUUAAACAUGUGUAAUGAAAUGCCCGGAAAAAAAUUUCAAUAUACAUGGCUUGCACGAGGGCAAGCAACACAAGCAAGUGUAAGUAAACUAAUUAAAGCAUUCAUACAUUGUAUCUUGAUUACUUUAAAUCAAAUACAAAGCUCACAUAAUUAUUAUAUUCAUUCUUCCAAUACAUACAUUGCCAUCUUUUAAAUGAAUAAUUUACAUUUACUUUCAUCAACUAUAAAUAGAUGAAAUAAAUAAGGUACAACUAUACUCAAUGGAUGUCCACUAUCUAUGGAACGCUGUCCAUACCACGAUCCUCGAUCACCCCGCACGAACUAGAACCUGCAUGGUUAGUGGGGUGAGUACUACUGAAAGUUCCUAGUGGGUUUGGCUGCCGACCUCGCCGACUCACCCACUAGGUUUAUUCAGGCAUAUGUAGGCAAGAAAAGAGAAUAGAUAGUAACCAGUUAUAACAUGUAACUACUACAAUGCCUGCACAAAGCUGAAAGAAACAGUAGACAAUAACUGAAAUUGAUGCAUGCAUGCUACUAAUAACCUUUACCCAAUCCAACUGGUUAACCAUUUGG
rnacentral:lncRNA from 1 species